GGCCGCCUGGCGAAAUGGCAUCGCGUCUGACUACGAUGAAAGUGUGCCCAAAUGUAAUCAGGAGACUGCAGGUUCGACCCCUGCGGUGGUCA